rnacentral:siRNA from 1 species
GCUAAACCUGGUUCCUUGAG